UAUGUGAUCGUCUCUCGCAUAUCAAUAAGCGGAGGAAAAGAAACUAACAAGGAUUCCCCUAGUAACGGCGAGUGAAGCGGGAAGAGCUCAAAUUUGAAAUCUUAAAGGGUUUCCCUUUACGAAUUGUAGUUUAAAGAAGUGUUUUCCUGUUGAGGUUUUGGUAAAAGUUCUUUGGAAUAGGACAUCAUAGAGGGUGAGAAUCCCGUAUUUGACCUUUACUUUCAACUUUGUGAUACACUUUCAAAGAGUCGGAUUGUUUGGGAAUGCAGUCCAAAAUGGGUGGUAAAUUUCAUCUAAAGCUAAAUAUUGGCGAGAGACCGAUAGCGAACAAGUACCGUGAGGGAAAGAUGAAAAGAACUUUGAAAAGAGAGUUAAACAGUACGUGAAAUUGUCAAAAGGGAAGCGUUUGACACCAGUGUUGUUUUUCUGAAAAUCAAUUAAAGAACUGUUUAUGCUAAGCUGUUUAGACUUUAUCAGCUAACUGUUUAGUUUUGAGCUUUUCUUUAAUGCACUUUUCAGUUAACAAGUCAACAUCAAUUUCUUUUGCUGUAAAAAAGCUUGAGGAAGGUGGCUUGAGAUUCGUCUUAAGUGUUUAUAGCCUCUUGCCUAUGCAGUCGGAGAGAUUGAGGUCUGCAGCGUAGAUCCUUCGGGGCUAAAUGCAUUUGUGCUAAGUUAUAGCAUUUUAUAGACAACUUGUUGACUAUGAUUUGUCUUGUAGCUUACUCGCUUAUGUUAUUUUACCUACGCUUAGGAUGUUGAUCUACAGAGCGAGAGU
rnacentral:rRNA from 1 species